AGCAGCCGCGGUAAUUCCAGCUCCAAUAGCGUAUAUUAAAGUUGUUGCAGUUAAAAAGCUCGUAGUUGAAUUUCGGGGUCAGUAGAUUGGUCAUGCCUCCGGUAUGUACUGGUCUUACUGGCUCCUCCUUCCUGAUGAACCGUAAUGCCAUUAAUUUGGUGUUGCGGGGAGACUGGACUGUUACUUUGAAAAAUUAGAGUGUUUAAAGCAGGCUAACGCUUGAAUACAUUAGCAUGGAAUAAUGAAAUAGGACGUUCGAUCUUAUUUUGUUGGUUUCUAAGAUUGACGUAAUGAUUAAUAGGGAUAGUUGGGGGCAUUAGUAUUCAAUUGUCAGAGGUGAAAUUCUUGGAUUUAUUGAAGACUAACUACUGCGAAAGCAUUUGCCAAGGAUGUUUUCAUUAAUCAAGAACGAAAGUUAGGGGAUCGAAGACGAUCAGAUACCGUCGUAGUCUUAACCAUAAACUAUGCCGACUAGGGAUCGGAUGAUGUUAAUUUUUAAUGACUCAUUCG
rnacentral:rRNA from 1 species